GGCUGGUGCAAGUGCUGUGGCAUUUACAACUAAUAGAUCAGCACCAGUUGCAGGUUUCCUUGUUCCUUCUCUACUCCCGUUGCUUCACUUGACUAGCCUUAA
ensembl:Y_RNA Y_RNA Y RNA